GGCAGUGUGGCCUCGUGGAGAAAGCCCGGGUCUGGGAGUCGGAGGACCUGGGUUCUAAUCCCAGCUCCGCCA
rnacentral:tRNA from 1 species